rnacentral:rRNA from 1 species
ACGGGACUCUUCGGAGUUCAGUGGCGGACGGGUGAGUAACGCGUGAGAAUCUGCCUAGAGGAUGGGGACAACCGCGGGAAACUGUGGCUAAUACCCAAUGAGCGGAGACGUUAAAGAUUUAUCGCCUCUAGAGGAGCUCGCGUCUGAUUAGCUAGUUGGUGGGGUAAAAGCCUACCAAGGCGACGAUCAGUAGCUGGUCUGAGAGGACAACCAGCCACACUGGGACUGAGACACGGCCCAGACUCCUACGGGAGGCAGCAGUGGGGAAUUUUCCGCAAUGGGCGAAAGCCUGACGGAGCAAUACCGCGUGAGGGAGGAAGGCUCUUGGGUUGUAAACCUCUUUUCUCAGGGAAGAACACAAUGACGGUACCUGAGGAAUCAGCAUCGGCUAACUCCGUGCCAGCAGCCGCGGUAAUACGGAGGAUGCAAGCGUUAUCCGGAAUGAUUGGGCGUAAAGCGUCCGCAGGUGGCUUUGCAAGUCUGCUGUCAAAGCUCAGGGCUUAACCCUGAAUCGGCGGUGGAAACUGAAAGGCUAGAGUGUGGUAGGGGCAGAGGGAAUUCCCAGUGUAGCGGUGAAAUGCGUAGAGAUUGGGAAGAACACCAGUGGCGAAAGCGCUCUGCUAGACCGCAACUGACACUCAUGGACGAAAGCUAGGGGAGCGAAUGGGAUUAGAUACCCCAGUAGUCCUAGCCGUAAACGAUGGAUACUAG